UCGCUGACGAGUGGCGGACGGGUGAGUAAUGUCUGGGAAACUGCCUGAUGGAGGGGGAUAACUACUGGAAACGGUAGCUAAUACCGCAUAACGUCGCAAGACCAAAGAGGGGGACCUUCGGGCCUCUUGCCAUCGGAUGUGCCCAGAUGGGAUUAGCUAGUAGGUGGGGUAACGGCUCACCUAGGCGACGAUCCCUAGCUGGUCUGAGAGGAUGACCAGCCACACUGGAACUGAGACACGGUCCAGACUCCUACGGGAGGCAGCAGUGGGGAAUAUUGCACAAUGGGCGCAAGCCUGAUGCAGCCAUGCCGCGUGUAUGAAGAAGGCCUUCGGGUUGUAAAGUACUUUCAGCGGGGAGGAAGGGAGUAAAGUUAAUACCUUUGCUCAUUGACGUUACCCGCAGAAGAAGCACCGGCUAACUCCGUGCCAGCAGCCGCGGUAAUACGGAGGGUGCAAGCGUUAAUCGGAAUUACUGGGCGUAAAGCGCACGCAGGCGGUUUGUUAAGUCAGAUGUGAAAUCCCCGGGCUCAACCUGGGAACUGCAUCUGAUACUGGCAAGCUUGAGUCUCGUAGAGGGGGGUAGAAUUCCAGGUGUAGCGGUGAAAUGCGUAGAGAUCUGGAGGAAUACCGGUGGCGAAGGCGGCCCCCUGGACGAAGACUGACGCUCAGGUGCGAAAGCGUGGGGAGCAAACAGGAUU
rnacentral:rRNA from 1 species